rnacentral:lncRNA from 1 species
AUGUCUUGUCAUUCCCUGUGUAAAACCACCACUGAAGAUGCAAACCCAAAGGUCUCCCAAAUACCUUCAGUCCAACAGACAGAGGAAGACUCAUCACUGAACAUGUUAAAUAAGUGUGUGGCUGCCAACAUGUUACAGGAAACAGAAGAGAAGUUACAGUUCUUUGCUAGUUAUGAGACAGGUUUCUCUCAGGGACUUGUGAAUAUGCUGACCUAUGAUGGGAGAGAACUCACUGAGGGGACUGAUUAUAAUAAAUGGUGCCAGAAGUCACUAGCACGCAAAAGUGUGAGAUCCAGGAGAAGCCAGGCCUUGGAGGAGGCUAAGAAUGGUGCUCCUGGUUCCAAGURUACGCAGCAUGAAAUCCUGACCAUCAGAAGAGACCAAUACGAGAGGAGCUUUGCUCUGUCAGCUUGUGCUGCAAAGGAAAAAAGAAAUGCUGAGACAGCAUCAAAUGCGCCUCUAGGAAAUGAAGCUCCUGUUGUGCAAAGCCUUAACAGCCAGUCACCUGUCACAGUCAGCUUCUCGCUGUCAUCCAAAAUUUGUGAGGAAAGAGGUUGGAUUUGCCAGCCUUCUGACUCAAGUUCUGAGGAUCCUCAGAAGCUGCAUUAUGUGUGGGCACUGAAGAGACUACAACAAAUUCAACAACAAAUAAACCAUGGCUAA